CGAGGUGAGUAACGCGUGGGUGACCUGCCCCAUACCGGGGGAUAACAGCUGGAAACGGCUGCUAAUACCGCAUAAGCGCACAGAGCUGCAUGGCUCGGUGUGAAAAACUCCGGUGGUAUGGGAUGGGCCCGCGUCUGAUUAGGCAGUUGGCGGGGUAACGGCCCACCAAACCGACGAUCAGUAGCCGGCCUGAGAGGGCGACCGGCCACAUUGGGACUGAGACACGGCCCAA
rnacentral:rRNA from 1 species